rnacentral:rRNA from 1 species
ACGCGAAAGGUUUCUUCGGAAACCGAGUAGAGUGGCGCACGGGUGAGUAACACGUAGGUAAUCUACCUCUGGGUGGGGAAUAACCAUCGGAAACGAUGGCUAAUACCGCAUAAUGCAGCGGCAUCUUCGGAUGACAGUUGUUAAAGCUUUAUGUGCCUGGAGAGGAGCCUGCGGCGGAUUAGGUAGUUGGUGAGGUAAUGGCCCACCAGGCCCGCGAUCCGUAUCCGGUCUAGGAGGACGGUCGGACACACUGACACUGAAUAACGGGUCAGACUCCUACGGGAGGCAGCAGUCGGGAAUUUUGGGCAAUGGGCGCAAGCCUGACCCAGCAACGCCGCGUGAAGGAUGAAGUAUUUCGGUAUGUAAACUUCGGAAGUAUGGGAAGAAUAAAUGACGGUACCAUAUCUAAGCCCCGGCUAACUCCGUGCCAGCAGCCGCGGUAAUACGGAGGGGGCAAGCGUUG